GACCUUGAUAUCCAUCAUCCAUGACAUAAUUUUGAAAUUACUACGCAGUAAAUCUAGCGAGGAGGCGACGUGCCGUUACUUGAGUAUUGGCCACAGCCUGCAAUUGUGGAGCAUUUGACACGGUGAAAACUCUAUACAGAAAGUUGAAAUUCAUUAUUGGAGCGAGAUAUACAACUAGGUGAGCCAACGCAUAGCGUCACUUCAGUAUUGAGAAGACUUUAUUUUGUCCAGACAUGAUCAAACAAAAAAAAAAAGUACUUUUAUCCUGAAUCCAAGACUUAUCACCUUCCACAUGCCUAGCUAUAAGUUCACAGAUAAGGCUAUAAUAUGCUGAAAGAACUGCUAGCCCUAAGCAAUAGCAAAGACUUUUCAGCAGAAAAAAAACAAGUAGUAACUGCUUUAUGCCAACCAAAUUAUUGUAAACACAAAGUACAAGUAAAACCGUCCAUAAUGAUCAUGCUUACGGGGGAAUGAAUGAUAAUACUUAUCCGAAAUCCAUUGGAUAAGUCAGCACUAGCAGCAGAUUUAAAGUUAAACAGAUGAAUCGAACUUGGUCUCUCUGUUAGCAGAAUCAUCAAUCCAUACAAGUCCCCUGCAACAAAAUUGGUGGUUUGGUUACGUAUUAUGAUUUCUUAGAAAUGUGUUAAUUUCCUCAGGAAAUACAUUGGGAUAAAACCUUUAUGUUUUGACCAUAAAAGAAACCAGUCAUGAGUGUCAGGUGAACUGUACUAAAAAGUCCUACCCUGAAACAAGUGCAAGGAAAAAUCAACUUUACUUCACCUAAAAUGAAUUAUUGAUGACCUUAUCUGUACAAAGAAAAAGGCCUCUCAAUGUUAACCAAUAGCUGAUUCCACUACUCUCUAUGACAAACAAUACAUGUCAGGCCACUUUGUAAUACAGAGCACAACCUAGGCAAACUAUAACAGGAAAAAUUGCAGUACAACAGUAACUUUUGAGAGAAAUUGCUGCACCCAUGAAAAGAAUGUAAUUGCAAAAGCUAUAAACAAUUGAUUGCAUUGUGCAUUGAAAUUUUUGUGAAGGGGUAAAAGUACUAGUUAUGUUUUGAUGACUCAGAGAAAACAUCAUUAAAAUUAAAUAACUGCAGAUUCCAACAACAUUAGGUUCAAGCUUAGGGAGUUGAGAUCAAACAGAAAACAGGUAAGUUAAAGAAGCCUCAUAAUAUUUAGUUAAAAAGGAACGGUAGAGCAGAUGGAUUACGUACUUUGCUAGAUUUACUUCCUUUCCUUCUGAUGUAAAAGGGUAUAACAUGCAAGGAGGCAAUAUUUAUACUUCAGACAGAAAAACAAAUUGAAUGAAGCACAUUCCACUUCUAUUAAUGGCUAAAUCAGAAAUUAAACAACUACCCUUAUAACUUUUGCUUUCUUUCACCUGAUAUUCC
rnacentral:lncRNA from 1 species